rnacentral:tRNA from 1 species
ACAACUGUAAUUUAAUGGUAAAAUGAUCGUCUUCCAAACGAACGUUAUCGGUUCGAUUCCGAUUAGUUGUA